AUACUGACCUGGCAGGGACGAUACCAUGAAGGUCGUUCAGCCAGGGCGAGGCUCUGCCAUUGCACUUGGGUGGUGCUGACCCUUGGGAAUUCCCCAAAUGCGGGAAUCUCGACUGCAUAAUUUCUGGUAGUGGGGGACUGCGUUCGCACUCUCCCCUG
ensembl:snRNA U1 U1 spliceosomal RNA